CGUUGCCAUUUUCCUGCCUCCACCUCCUUUGCUUCCCAUUGUUCCACCCCCGCCCAUGGUUGGAGAAGGGCGGGGAAAGCAGAGGGAAUCUCCAGCCGGGUAUUGAGCCGAAGAGCUGUCGAUCACGCACACCUCCUGAAACCCACGUCUCCUUUUCGCCAAGCUCCGCCCAGUAUUACUGAUGGAAGAUGCCGAUUGCAGGCUUGCCUUGUCCAUCGCCCAAAGGAGAGCCAGUGAAAAAAGAACCGCCCCGCAAUCUUUCUGGACAUGUGACGGGGAGCUACCUUUGGGCUGGAUUAGACUAUGGAACGACCCCAUUCGUAUGGUUUGGAUGCCUCCAGGAAUGGACAGGGCUAGAUGCCAGGGCUCCGCCAUGAAUCGCGUAGCCCCAGUUUUUAGAGUGUACUUGGUCUCCUUCUCCGAGCCCAGUCAUCAUCACGGUGUGCCUACAGCCUGAGAGCAUUGCAAGCCAACUUAACAAGCUGCUUCUGAUGGCUGGCACCAGACGCACUCCACUGAAGAAUUUUGGAAACAUUUUCCCUGCUUAGAAGUUGGGCAAAAUGUGUCAUGACCACAAAAAUCAGUAUUCUGGCACAACUAUAAGAGCAAAAUGUCGUUUUUGAAAUACAGUAACUCUUUCUACACCAAUACACGGCAGUAGCUACUUUUUUUUUUUAGCACAUUUCAAAUUCUUUCCUUUUAAAGUUAUUUCAUAUA